UACGUAGGGUGCAAGCGUUGUUCGGAAUUACUGGGCGUAAAGGGCUCGUAGGCGGCCAACUAAGUCGGACGUGAAAUCCCCAGGCUCAACCUGGGAACUGCGUCCGAUACUGGAUGGCUUGAAUCCGGGAGAGGGAUGCAGAAUUCCAGGUGUAGCGGUGAAAUGCGUAGAUAUCUGGAGGAAUACCGGUGGCGAAGGCGGCAUCCUGGACCGGCAUUGACGCUGAGGAGCGAAAGCCAGGGGAGCAAACGGG
rnacentral:rRNA from 1 species